CCGUAGCGCGGUGGUCCCACCUGACCCCAUGCCGAACUCAGAAGUGAAACGCCGUAGCGCCGAUGGUAGUGUGGGGUCUCCCCAUGCGAGAGUAGGGAACUGCCAGGU
rnacentral:rRNA from 1 species